rnacentral:lncRNA from 1 species
AUCGUAGCCAUGAUUGGCCAUAAAACAUGGAGGAGGUGUACUCUCGUCAUCACAAUCGUGUCUCCCUAGAAAAGCUCCACAAGUCGCUGCCAUGUUGCCCUUUGCUAGACAAGAAAACAAUCAAAGAAUAGGAUACUUGCAUGCAAAUUAAAGGAGCAACACAUGAAAAACACAAAUAUACUCGGCAAAUCUAAAAAAAAAGAAAAAAAAAUCCAAUAUCACUGGAUUUGCCUAUAACACACAAACAAUGAAGGAAAAGUAAAAUAAUAAGGCUUCCUCUUUAAAGAAUUCUACAAGAUUUGCGCAAGAAAAAAAGUUACAAAGCAUUUGAGAGAGCGGAGGCAACAAAAAAAGUUAGAAAACAAGGGAAACAAAAGACUUGAAAAUAGUAAAAUGAUUUACCACGAGGAGCAUCUCUUAGAAAUUGUCUCCCAACUCCUCUUGGAACCGCGAGCGAAAAGCCACUUGUUAUUUGGUGGAGUAGGUCAGAUGGCUGGUGAGAGUAAGGAAGCGCAAAUUAGAGAUAUCAGAUAUCCCAUUGAAUAUCUUUUCGCGCAGUAUUUCAAUCACAAAAGUCGCCGUGGAUCCAGACAAAGAAAAUUCACUCUUUGAACAUAUGAUAAUGAUAAAAAGUCA